rnacentral:rRNA from 1 species
CGGAGGGCGCGAGCGUUAUCCGGAUUUACUGGGCGUAAAGGGCGUGUAGGCGGCUUGGGGCGUCCCAUGUGAAAGACCACGGCUCAACCGUGGGGGAGCGUGGGAUACGCUCAGGCUAGACGGCGGGAGGGGGUGGUGGAAUUCCCGGAGUAGCGGUGAAAUGCGCAGAUACCGGGAGGAACGCCGAUGGCGAAGGCGGCCACCUGGCUCGUUCGUGACGCUGAGGCGCGAAAGCGUGGGGAGCAAACCGGAUU